rnacentral:piRNA from 1 species
UUUAACAAAUGACGGUAAAUC